rnacentral:rRNA from 1 species
GGUAAGUUCCGACCUGCACGAAUGGAGUAACGAUAGCCCCACUGUCUCCUUCCGAGGCUCAGUGAAAUUGAAAUCGCUGUGAAGAUGCAGUGUAUCCGCGGCUAGACGGAAAGACCCCGUGAACCUUUACUAUAGCUUUGCACUGGACUUUGAAUUUGCUUGUGUAGGAUAGGUGGGAGGCUUUGAAGCGUGGACGCCAGUUCGCGUGGAGCCAACCUUGAAAUACCACCCUGGCAACUUUGAGGUUCUAACUC